AUUGAACGCUGGCGGCAGGCCUAACACAUGCAAGUCGAACGAGUGGCGGACGGGUGAGUAAUGUCUGGGAAACUGCCUGAUGGAGGGGGAUCACUACUGGAAACGGUAGCUAAUACCGCAUCCCAUCGGAUGUGCCCAGAUGGGAUUAGCGUGUUGGUGGGGUAACGGCUCACCAAGGCGACGAUCCCUAGCUGGUCUGAGAGGAUGAACAGCCACAUGGGAACGGAGACACGGUCCAGACUCCUACGGGAGGCAGCAUGGGGGAAUAUUGCACAAUGGGCGCAAGCCUGAGACAGCAAGGCCGCGUGUAUGAAGCAGGCCUUCGGGUGGUAAAGUACUUUCAGCGGGGAGGCGUUACCCGAAGAAGAAGCACCGGCUAACUCCGUGCCAGCAGCCGCGGUAAUAC
rnacentral:rRNA from 1 species